GGGCCCGUAGCCUAGUUGGAUAAGGCGUCGAGUCAACCGAAAAGUUGGCGCGCAAGCCUUCGGAGCCGAAGACCCAGGGUUCAAAUCCCUGCGGGCCCGCCA
rnacentral:tRNA from 1 species